AAGUUUUAACCCAGGGCUGAGUUCAACCCCGGGGGUUGAAAUUUCAACCCCGGGGUUGAACUCAGCCCUGGGUUGAAAA